rnacentral:rRNA from 2 species
UUUUAUCAGAGAGUUUGAUCCUGGCUCAGGAUGAACGCUGGCGGCGUGCUUAACACAUGCAAGUCGAACGGGAAACCUUUUAUUGAAGCUUCGGCAGAUUUAGAUUGUUUCUAGUGGCGGACGGGUGAGUAACGCGUGGGUAACCUGCCUUAUACAGGGGGAUAACAGUCAGAAAUGACUGCUAAUACCGCAUAAGCGCACAGAGCUGCAUGGCUCGGUGUGAAAAACUCCGGUGGUAUAAGAUGGACCCGCGUUGGAUUAGCUAGUUGGUGAGGUAACGGCCCACCAAGGC